UACGUAGGGUGCAAGCGUUAAUCGGAAUUACUGGGCGUAAAGCGUGCGCAGGCGGCUAUGCAAGACAGAUGUGAAAUCCCCGGGCUCAACCUGGGAACUGCAUUUGUGACUGCAUGGCUAGAGUACGGUAGAGGGGGAUGGAAUUCCGCGUGUAGCAGUGAAAUGCGUAGAUAUGCGGAGGAACACCGAUGGCGAAGGCAAUCCCCUGGACCUGUACUGACGCUCAUGCACGAAAGUGCGGGGAUCAAACAGG
rnacentral:rRNA from 1 species